rnacentral:sRNA from 1 species
AUUCUGAGUACUUAUUUGAAGGAAUUGAAACUAGAAUCUACGAGAGGCAUUUGCACCGUCAUGUUUGUUACAGCUUUAUUCACAAUAGCUGAGAAGCAGACGCAACACAACGCAUGCAUCCGUUCAAAAUGCAGUGGCGUGCACUGGUGGGAUCCACUCAGCUACAAACGAGAACAAAAUGCUCAUCCGUGUGCCCCGGAUGGCUCCCGUGAUGGCAGGAGGACGAGGCUGCUUUACUCCACUCUCCACACUCCGAGACAGGGUCUCCAGCCCAUGCUGACCUUACCCCCCUGUGCAGCCACUAGUGACUUUGACAGAGACAGUCUUACAGGUUCCUGAGAAAUGCUGAAAGUCUCCCUCAGCCAUCCUUGAUUCUCCAGUCAGUGUCCAGUUCAAGCUGAGCCCAGGCUGUCAUCGUGGACAUGGAGGCCGGAGGGGCGUGAUGCACAAAAGCCUGGUUUCCAGCUCAUCUACGAGCACAAAUUGAACAGAUACAGUCUGGAAGUCUUCGGGCCCUCGAAAGGAAGGAUGAGUUCUCACUGUGCCACCUCCGUGCCGACCAUGGCUUCUUCCUUGAAGCAUGGAUGGAUUGUGGAUCAUGGAUCUAGAUUCGUGUACAGCCCCAGAGCCUGGCAUAUCACUGGACCUGGGGAUCUAAAGGGAGCCAGUGUACAUGCUGAUGAACUGCUGAGAACAGAGAAGAGAGGGGUGGCUUGCUGCUGGAGCACCCAGCCUGCAGUACAGCACAACUCAAACCAGAAGGA